CGGGAAAGGGAGAAUUAUUCUAAAAACAAGUAACAAUAGAAACUGAAAAAGAAAAAAAUGGGACAGGACAUAAAUACGACGUCGUAAAAUCGUGUAGAUAAAUACUUAUUGGGACAAGUCCAACUACACACAGCCCAACUUCAAGAACUUCACGUAGAUCACUAACCCUAAAAUUUUCAUUUAUAGGAACACUGACAUUUCCACCAAAAACAUAUGCAGAAGGCGUAAGCGGAUCCCUUUGUAUUUCAACCAGUCUCUCCCAAUUGUCGUAGAUUUUAUACAAUCGAAAAAGUUUAGAGCACUUCUCUUCAUCAUCUGCGCGUGUAAGUGAGUAGAAUCUGUGGCAACUGGUAGAGACGGGUUGGAACUACACUAAGGAGAGACGAUUUUCGUGAAAUUGCUCUGUUUCAUCAUCUUUCAGAUCCAGAUUCAGUCCGAAGUUGUGGAUGGUAAAUAAUUGGCUACUGAGUUCGUUUAGCCUUCUCAUAAUAUUUUCUUAACCUCACUCUCAUGGUUUUAUAUUUUCAGUAUUGAAAUUUCAUUUGAAUGUUAGAAUUUAGAUGAAUAUACUUAAAAUCUCACAAGUUUUUGGCCUCUAAAAAAUCCAGAAUUUUCGGGAGGCAUCUUAACACGCGUAGCUAUUUUCUGUUUAGUGCGUUGAAAGUUAACUUUAUUAGUUAUUUGCAUCUAGGGCUGAAAAUAGAUUGGAUAUGGACUGGAUCUAUCCAUAUCUUUCCAUAUCCGAUCUGAUAAGAAUAAUUCAUUGAUUCAAUCCGAUAAUUUAUGGGUAUUUGAUUGUUAAAUUCAUAUUCGAUUUGUUAUGAUAUCAAAUAUUCGAUUCAAUCCAAUAAUCCGAUCCGAAACAUUUUACACAUUCUUUUUUCAUUGAAAGAGUCGAUUUUCAAUUUGAUUGCAAUAUUUAUUAUAAUUUACUAAUUUUAUGUUGAAAUUUGAUCAGUUUGACAUUAUUCAAAAAACCCAUAAAAUAU
rnacentral:lncRNA from 1 species